UUCUUCGUUCCUAGUUUAUAUGGCUUUAUGUGUGUGAUGGAGUGCUUAUGGUAAAUACUCUUGAUGUACGAGUGCUUUUGUUCUGGGAUUAUGAACUCCUAUAUAAGAUUUAGGUUACAUGUGAGAUGUCUUGUUAUUUAGGUGUGGGAUAUGCUGAACUGUUGUACACUUUAAUACUUGUGAUACUGUGAACUGUGGUUUAGGUGUCGGACUAGAAAAUAGGCGCGGCUUUGCCGCGCUCCCAUUAGAGUGACCAGGCCAUUUAGAUUUUACGCUUUGUAAAUGGGCAUGAAAAUUAAUAAGGAAUUAAUAACGUGCAGAACUUAGUAAAGCAGCAUAUAUAUGCGCAUGAAAAUUGCUUACUGAUUGUAUCCAAUAGCUCAGAUCAAUAAAUAAAUGACAUAUUUAUUUUACUGCAUACUGAAUAUAGCUGAAAAUGACAUGGUAGUAUAUUGUGGAUAUCUGUGCCUGAAGAGAUUGAGUGGUGAAGUCAAGCCAACUACACAACUACCUGAUCAUAACAUAGAACCCACACGUUCUGAGAGAUCCACAACACAUUACUCGUGACUUUAUAUUACAGCAAACAGCACAUGACUUUGUAUUACAUCAGCACCUACAUACGCAUGACUUAUAUUACAUCACUACCAAAAUGCUCAUGAUUCUAUAUUACAUCAGCAGCUACAUAUGGGUCGUCAUGUGCAUGAUUUUGUCCCAAGGAUGCGACCACAUCCUCAUAUAGUUGUCGGUCACAACUAAGUGUUUUAGGUAGCAUGCCUAGUGCCUCCAGCUUGUCUUUGUCCAUGUGAGGAAUUUUGUAUCUGUUUCCUCCUCCAUCUUUCAUUAUCUCAAUCAUACACCCUUAAAGUGUGAGGAACACUCUAUUCAAAGUAUCUGCAUCAUAGUUAUCAAACUCUUUUUUGACAUUCAGAAUUAGGUCAUCUAAGUUCCUAGAGAUCUUUUCAUAGGCUUUGGAUUGUAGAGAAGCAAAGAAUCCCAAGUCGAGUACAUUCAAAUCUGGUGAAUUUGCAGGUUGGUUGAUGAGUCGUAUGUCCAGACCUGUUUGUGCCACAGCCGUAGCAAAUUCUUCAUCAUCUACUGGCACACGUGAAGGGGCAUUGUCUUGCUGAAUCCAUAUAGUUUGUCCUCUCAGUUCUUGUGGCCACCGUUGAACAAUAGCUUUUAGAACUUUACCAAUCAAGUAUGACCUCAUAGUUUUUCAAUCUACAUUAAUAGGCUUAGUGACUUCGGUCCCUCUUCCCCUAUUACGGCUUCUUCUCUUUGCUUGUUCCUGGAGUCAAUGAAGACUUUUAAGGAUCAAAAGUGUUAUCACAAAGUGAUGUAACAAAGUGAAAUAAGUUGGUGUCGUAUCUUUCUAACAAAUGCCCACACUCCUAUCUUCCCAUCAAAGAUGCAAUUACCUUCAUCAUCGUAUAUAGGUCUUUCUAGUGCCGUCAAGAACAUAACUUUGCCAAUACGAUUCUUGUUUUGCACUGUCCUAUGUGGGUUGUCCUCUCCUGGGAGCAUAUAAUACUUCCUGUACUUUGAAGUGUUGUUGUACCACUUCUCGUCCAUGUGGAUGAUGUUUUCCAUUGACCUAAACUUGGGUUCAUGUGGUAGUGUCCGGGGAUCUAACAUGGAAAGACACCAUUUGAGUCUGUCUCUUUUGUUUUCCUCUGUCAAUAGAGGCUUCAGUGUGCUAGAAUGACGUUGUAGCAGCCCUUUCUUGAACCACCUAUGCAGAGUGCUCCUUUUGACACCGAUGGCUUUUGCUAGAGAUUGAAUAGUGCUUCUGUUGUGCAAUGGAACACUAAGAACCUCAGAUAGGUCCAUUUGCACCUUUUUGCAGCCACUUCUCUUAGGCUUCCUUGAUCUAACAUCAACUGGAAUUCCUUGGGCACGACAUUCUUUUGCUCGCUGCCAAAUACGUUGCACUUUAUACCUGCUCACCUGGAACAUUUGUGCUACUAUAGUUGUAGUGUUCCUUUUUAGUCUUCCACGAGCACUUCUCUCAAGCAAUGCUGCAUAGAUUUGCUGUCGUUGAGUUUCUAUCAAUUUUUUUUGGACUGAUCUCCAUUGUUUUCAUUUGCAUGGUGGUCCUCUUCAUCAAAUAUUAUGUCCACAGUGUCAGCGUCAACAGCAUAGUUAUGCAUGUCCUCCAUCAUGCCUGCUAUGUACACAAGAAUUAAAUGAUCAUUAGGUGGAAAGUUUAAAUCAAAUAGAUGUGGACCAUCAAAGUGGAGACAUGCAGCCUGUUGAUGCUCCUCCUCUACUCCAAUUGCUGCAAUGAGAUGCAAUCAAGAGAAAAGAAUCACCAUUAUGAUGUUCUUGUUCUCCCUCAGAAGUAGCAACAUUGAUAUCAAUGACAUGCAUGCCAAGUAGUUCAUUGUGAUGAAGAUGAAGGGGCUGACCUUGGAGAUGGGCUUCAUCUUCAUAAAGGUGAUCUUCCUGGAGAUGAGCGAUUUCAUCUUCAUGCUCGUACAUUGGAUUUUUAUUGAGAUCAGGCUGUUCAUUGAGAUCAGGUAGGAGCUCUCCAUGAAGAUCAGGAAGAGUGUUUAAAUCUAUGGACAUGGCUGAUGAUGGAAAUGGCUUCCAGGUUGAUGAGUGGAUGCUCUCGUGUCCUGCAGUUAUAUGAUGGAAGGAGGGCUGUGGCACAGGCGGGAAAUGCCCAGGCGCGCUGGUUGAAAUUUCGAAUUUUGAGUGAUUGAUUCUAAGCCACAAAUAUAGUGACAGCUGUACCUCUAGAUUGCUCUCCCAAAACUUGGCAACGUUUUCUGUAAUGACACCUGUACCUCUAGAUUGUUCUCCCAGAACUUAUCAACGUUACACGUGUAUUACCUCACUGGUCGCAUUUGCUGCUGUUUGGAUGAAGACAAACAUAUCAAAUCACUUUAUAGAGGUAUUUUGGUAAUUUCUCAAUGUGCA